UACGUAGGAUGCAAGCGUUGUUCGGAAUUACUGGGGCGUAAAGAGUACGUAGGCGGUUUGAUAAGUCUGCUAUUAAAGACUGGAGCUUAACUCCAGGACUGUAGUGGAAACUGUCAGACUAGAGGACAAUAGAGGAAGUCGGAAUUCUCAGUGUAGCGGUGAAAUGCGUAGAUAUUGGGAAGAACACCAGUGGCGAAAGCGGACUUCUGGGUUGUUACUGACGCUGAGGUACGAAAGCGUGGGGAGCAACGGG
rnacentral:rRNA from 1 species